AUGUUUUCUCUACUAAAUUUGUUUUACCAGGGACUGUGUGCCAUUGGUUCCUUUUUUGAGACGCUCCGAACAUAUUGGGCCAUGUUUAAGCUAGCCACUUUUUCUUAUGGAGCUAUACAAUUGUAUAAUGGAUUGAAAGCAUGGUUAGCAAUGCUCACUUCGUAUCUGUAUACAGCUCCAGAGGGAGCAACUAAUGCAACUAAUUAUACAGAAAUGGUGAUUUUUAAGCGUGCUCCUCUUUCUUUCUAUGAAUCCUUUAUGCAGUUCUUGAAUGAUCAGUGGGCCACACUCUUAAUCUCCCUGAUCUUACUGUUGAUUAUUGUAAUAAUCUCACUCAGUAUCUGGAUUUAUAACAUCCGGAGGAAGUCUUCCCUAGAACCAGAGAAUACUGAGUGGCAGGGAAUUGAAGAGAUUCUCAAAGGACAGACAUCUUCAGUGUUAUGGAGCUUCACUCCUGAACACUUGAAGAAUCCUGAGAGUUUGAUUGCAUAUUUGAGGCAGGAAUGUUGUGGCUCAGGCAGAUCUCAGGAGGCACAAAUGAUUUUGGGCCUAGCUAAUGCUUAUUGGGCCUUAGUCAAUACCAUUCCUGAGAGAGAGAGUCUUAGAGCUGAGGCAGAAAAACUUUGGACUGAGAAGGUAGAGAGAGAAAAUGCAGAAGGAGUUAGAAGAGCGGAGGGAGUUAGGAGAGCAGGACUCAGGAGAGCAGGGGGACUCAGGAGAGAGAAAGUUAGGAGAGAGGAAAAAGGAGGAAGGUCGCCUGGAGGAAAUAACACAAGCGUCAGAGUCAGGGUCAGAGUCAGACGAGGAGCCAAAAGCUAGAUUUUUCUACGAGAAUUUCUCGAGUCCAAACUUAUAGAUGGGGCAGCCUCAUCAACACAGCUGCCAACAUUAACACCUGGGACUCCUGAUAGAGCAAAAGGUGAGCAAAGUAUUACGACCAUUAUUGAUCGAUCUUUUAAACUGAGUGAAAUUCGAGAUCUGAGAAAGGAUUUCACACGUCAGCCAAAAGAAAAUAUGGUCACUUGGUUACUUCGCUGCUGGGACAAUGGUGCCAACAGUGCGUGGCUCGAUGGCAGUGAAGCUCGCCAACUGGGUAGCAUUUCCAGGGACUCACGUGUGGACAGAGGUAUAGGCACAUGCCAAAAUCGGUCCUACACCCUCUGGAAGCGGAUGUUGAUAGCGGUAAGAGAUAGAUUCCCUUUAAACGGGACUUGGAGCCUGAGAAAAAGAAAUGGACUGAUAUGGAGAAAGGUAUCCAAUUUUUGAGAGAAAGGGCUCUGGUGAAAUGCUCUACAGCCCCCAGUUCAAUCGUAAACAAUCCAAACCAAUUACAUGAUCCUGAAGCAGUCCACGUUCCACGACAAAGUGGCGUACUUUACAAAGGCAGCUCCAGAAAAGCAUGCCAGUGCACUUGCAUUGGUAUAUGGCAAAGGGAAGAAAGCCCCUGUAAAUGAGCUAAUUAGCAGAACUUCAGGAGCUUGAAUUAUUUAUAAGCGCUACAGAAGUUAAGCUUUAUACUUCAGCCAUUGUCCAAAUGGGAAAAAAAUAGUGGAAAGGUUAGACAAAUGUGGAGGAAACACAAAGUGAUAUUAUUGACAAAUUGGCUAAUGUGCCUGAUGUAGAUGAAUCCACGGUGGUACAAGAUGAUGGAAACCAGGAUUUUCCACAAUCGCCUAUUGAGGAAGCUAAACAACAUGAGUUCCUCUCGACCUGUAUCAUCGAAAAUCUCAACCAUAAAAAAGAGACGUCCUCGUAUUCAAGCAAAUGACAACGAUAAGACACCUCGUAUUCAAGCAAACGACAAUGAUAAGACCAUACG
rnacentral:lncRNA from 1 species